GGAGUUAGAAUCAGAUCUGAGAUGUGACC
rnacentral:piRNA from 1 species